AUACUUACCUGGUAGGGGAGAUACCAUGAUCUCGAAGGUGGUUUUCCCAGGACAAGGCUUAUCCAUUGCACUUUGGAUGUGCCGACCCCUGAGAUUUCCCCAAAUGUGGGAGACUCAACGGCAUGAUUUCUGGUAGUGGGGGCCUACAUUUAUACUGCUCAUG